UGCGGCCAUGGUGGAACUGGUAGACACGCUAGCUUGAGGUGCUAGUGGCGAGAGCCAUGGAAGUUCAAGUCUUCUUGGCCGCAA
rnacentral:tRNA from 1 species